AGGACCCCGAACCACAUGGUGGGAGAUCAGUGGGGGCAAACACCCAGGAUGGGAAACCUACUGGGAAGAGGCCAAAGCUUGCUCUAUUCUCUCAAUACUGGCGAAGGGCUCCUUGUGUCGGUUGUCCCAUCCCUUGGGUGGUGACCCUGUGAUGCUGUCCCUGAUGCCACCUCUGAACCAUCUGGGAGGUGACCGCCGCGGGAGGAGAAUUUAAACGUCAGUGUUCAUAUUUUGUGACAGCUUUUAAGACAGUUUUGCAUAAAGCAUCCUCCAGAUGAAUAUUUUAAAUGGACUUCAGCGAGAUGCUAAUGGGUUUUCACAGUUGAUGAAAUUAAGCCCGCGUUCCCUCAAACCUUGCGGAGCUGCCUUUGAAGGGCUUGUGGUUAUUUCACCUUGCUGCUUUCCUGUAAUUCCCCCUCUGGCUGAUGCAGUGAGACGUCUGCUGUCCUCCUUGCCAAGAUGGCCAAGCCAGGAGGUUCCGUAAAGAGGAGGAUUCAAGAAAUACAAAGAGCUGCAGGUGGGGCUGUGUUGGGCACUGCAAGGCAUGGCCUACCCACCUCUGCAAAACAACCUGGUGGAAAAGGGUUUGUACUCUACCCAAGUGUGAGAUUUCCGUGGUUUGGAGACCAGCCCAACAGUUUAGGAAAUGAAGAUGAGUGAGGUGCUGGCCUUAUGUUCCAGUUUAAGUGGGAAAAAAUGGGUUUUGUGUGUCUGCCCCUCAUCCGUCAUGAGCUGCCCAAAGACCCUGGGCAGCCUGAUGGAGUGGUUGGCAAUCCCGCCCGUGGCAGGGGUCUGGAACUAAGCAAUCUUUAAGGUUCCCUCCAAUCUAAGCCAUCCUAUGAUUCUGUCAUUCUACGAUGUGUACUCCCUAUGGAUGACAAGUCCCCACUGUGCCAGAUGGGGACCCUAUAAGGCAGCCCAAUGGCUGUGUCUGCCCAUAGCUUGCUUUUGGGGUGCCUACCCAGCUGUAUCUGUGCUCUCCUGCUGCGUCACUCACAGCAUUCAAAGUCACCCAGCAGAUGCUCCAGUUCUGGGCUCUUCCUUGUCAGGAAUCUUUUAGGACAGCCUGGACAAAAUACAUCUGGCUGUUUUUGAGCUUUGGGGGAAGUAGACAUAAAUAAUGCUGAAACUGCUUUUUUUCUUUUUUUUUUUUCCUGAAAUAUCCUAUAGGGGUUGUAUGUGGACAGGACGUAAUGGGAAAGUGCUUAUAACCUUGUGUGCAUUUGGCUGUGCUUUUCUGGGUGUGCUCAGAGGAUCCGUCCUGUAAGCUGGCAUAUAUUUGAUGAAAAUAGAAAGAUUUAAAUCUUCCUAAAUUGGAAAGGAUUAGACAAAAUUUCUGGAAGCCUUCUUUGCUUCAUAGAUGAUGGGGAGAUGCCCGUGCUGUGCCUGAAACUUCAGAAGGCAUCGCUUUCGUUACGCCAGUGCAAACUUUCCCACUCAAAGCCAUUUGCUACAAGGCUUGGAUUACCCACCGCUAUCUCUCCUUGCACUCAUGGGUCCAAGGCUGGCUCUCAGGUGACCAUUCUGCACACAGCAUCUCUUCUGAUAUGCCUGUUUUGAAGCCUCUCCCUCUUCACUUCUUCACCCCGCAAAUGGUUUGGGGAUGGGAAGCAAAGGAAAAAAAUCAUGGAGAUGGAUGGGGAUGUGAGUUUCUUUUGUUGUCAUCCGUGUAUCUCCCAUGAAGCUCAGCAGGGAAGACCCACCCCAAAAGAAAGGAGCAAUCCUGGUCUCCUCAGGAUCCAAAAUGGUUAAAACCUUUUGAUACUGCAAUGCAUCCCCAGCUAGGAGUGCUGGCGGUGGGGAAGAAGGAGCUGAGAGGAGAGAUUGCCGUUGCUCCUGAGCUCCACACCAGUGAUGAAACAAGAGAAUGUUCAGAGCUGCCCACCUGACAGUUCUGUAAAUGCUGGAUGAGCCUUCCAACCUGCUGCAGGCUCCGUUGUGCUGGGGAUGGGCUCUUUCAGCACGCUGCCAGCAAGGGGAAAGCCUUCCUCGUUGGUAAAGCUGAGAGUAACUCUAAGUUAUUCUGAAGUAACGUGACAAGCCGCUUUAAGCAACAUGAGAUAUUUAAUCCCGGCAGCUUGAGUUUAGGCAGACUUGGAGCUGAACCGCAGUGGAGCGUCACUUGAGGAGAGGAGCAUCUCUUAUGGGAUGUGGGAGCAGCUGACCAAACCAAAAACUCCAAGCCCUGCCUUGCUAAUCCUGUGCUUGCAAGAGACAGGGUUGCACUGAAUGUCCUCUGCUGCUUCAUUUUCUGUACUAUAUAUACUGCGAGUCCUCAGCGUGAGCAUCACACCUCC
ensembl:lncRNA